rnacentral:rRNA from 1 species
AUUGAACGCUGGCGGCAGGCCUAACACAUGCAAGUCGAGCGGAUGAAGGGAGCUUGCUCCUGGAUUCAGCGGCGGACGGGUGAGUAAUGCCUAGGAAUCUGCCUGGUAUUGGGGGAUAACGUCCGGAAACGGGCGCUAAUACCGCAUACGUCCUGAGGGUGAAAGUGUGGGAUCUUCGGACCUCACGCUAUCAGAUGAGCCUAGGUCGGAUUAGCUAGUUGGUGGGGUAAAGGCCUACCAAGGCGACGAUCCGUAACUGGUCUGAGAGGAUGAUCAGUCACACUGGAACUGAGACACGGUCCAGACUCCUACGGGAGGCAGCAGUGGGGAAUAUUGGACAAUGGGCGAAAGCCUGAUCCAGCCAUGCCGCGUGUGUGAAGAAGGUCUUCGGAUUGUAAAGCACUUUAAGUUGGGAGGAAGGGCAGUAAGUUAAUACCCUGCUGUUUUGACGUUACCAACAGAAUAAGCACCGGCUAACUUCGUG